AUGGGUAGGUUGCCUUUACUCCCGUGGGUCCCAUCUCGCUUCUCAUUCUGUGCAGGAGGAUCCUUUGUGAGGUUGGCUGUAGAGGUGGGGGUCUGGCCCAUCAGCCUACCCUCCUGCCUACCCAGAGAAGCUAACAUUUAAUGGUACUCAUGAUGUGGGAGGCUUCGAGUGUUCGUGUUAUAUACCCUCUCGACUGUCAAGUCCUCACUGCAGUUCUGUGUGGGGCUGAUGCUGUUGUUAUCCUGGCUUACAGAAGAGGAAACCGAGGAGUCCUUACAAGAAAGAACACUGAUUUUGACGAACACCCAAAAUACUGUGAGCUCAGGCUCAUGUGUUAUGCAUGAGGUCUGAUUUAACAUGAACACUAUUUCUUGUGUACGAGACCAUAUGCCUCCGUGCUGUCUCUGCAGCCUAAUAAAACCCAGACCCACCCUG